GCUCCUAUCGUUUAAUCAGGUUAAGGCAGUGUUUUUUCGUGACAUCAAUGUGGGUUCAAAUCCCACUAGGAGUA
rnacentral:tRNA from 1 species